rnacentral:rRNA from 1 species
GACGAACGCUGGCGGCAGGCUUAACACAUGCAAGUCGAACGAACUCUUCGGAGUGAGUGGCAGACGGGUGCGUAACACGUGGGAACCUACCCUAAGGUACGGAAUAACAGUUAGAAAUGACUGCUAAUACCGUAUAUGUCUUCGGAUGAAAGAUUUAUCGCCUUAGGAUGGGCCCGCGGCUGAUUAGUUUGUUGGUGGGGUAAUGGCCUACCAAGACUACGAUCAGUAGCUGGUCUGAGAGGAUGAUCAGCCACACUGGAACUGAGACACGGUCCAGACUCCUACGGGAGGCAGCAGUGAGGAAUAUUGGACAAUGGGGGAAACCCUGAUCCAGCCAUGCCGCGUGAGUGAUGAAGGCCUUAGGGUUGUAAAACUCUUUCAGUAGUGAAGAUAAUGACGGUAACUACAAAAGAAGCCCCGGCUAAUUUCG